UGAUUAAAAUCGAUUAAACGAAAAUGGAGAAUAUUUGUCUUCGAUUCAAUUUUGAACUGAUUAAUUAAUGUCUAUCUAGUCUUAAACGUUAAAAAAAAAAAAGAAAUAAAGAGAAAGAACAAAAGAGAAACUAAACACAAUUAAUAGCAAUUACAGACGCUUAUUUGAUAUCUUAUUACAUUUUUAACCACCGAUCACUCUUGCUUCGUAUUUCUUGAAAAGUGAGCAUGGUUUUGUUCUUACUUUCGUUACCACUUCUAUCUGUCUCGUCUAAGUAUAGAAACGAAAACACUCUUCAUAAAGACGGAGUCAGCCGUUAUGUAUCUGUGGACUUGACAUCCCGUUUCCUUUGAUUCUAGUACGACACUCAAAUACUAUUCUUAAAUUAGGUCAGCUGAUUUUUUGAUCGAACAAGAUAAAUUUCGUGUGUUACGAUGAAAUACUCACCGAGCCGAGAACGGUCUCACGCGAACAGCCACUUUAAUGUUCGCCAUAUUGUCAGAGCCCGUUAAGAAGACACUAAUUGUCUUUCAUUCACAUUGUAACGUCGUUGAAGCUAAUUUAAGCUAUUGUUAAUGGAUGACAAUUGGAUUGAAACGAAUGAUUGAAUGAUUGACAUAUAUAUAUCAGUGAAAGACACACUAACCAGGUCGUUGCAAAGUGCAUAAGAACAUGAAAAGGCAGAAAAUGAUGGGGACGGAGUGCGUGUUCGGGCCAAGUGCACGUGCUCUACUGCUGCGAUGAAAAUAUCCACGAGACGCUCCAAAGAAUAUCAUUCGUGCUCAUGGUUUAUCCCAGCCGGGAUACUUGCUCGUACUUACGAUGCUCCAUUUAAAAGGGAAUUAUAAUCAAUUAUUAUUCUUGCAUCAAAUACCUCUACGAGAGGAGCGCAUAUAAAUAGAAAAAUGGUGCUAACUACGGUGAAUAUGAAGUAUUUGGAUAGACGAAAUGUAAAUAAACAUUUGUCCCUUAAGAUGAGAAUAUCUUCAUAGCUUGCUAAAAUCCAAUCCGUUCUCAUAGUCUCAACGAUAUAGGACAUGUCUUUGCGAUAUAAGAAAUAAAUCGUGAGUCUAAUUCCAGAGAGAUAAAAAGCAGUACAAAGAAGAGCACAUUCAGUUGCCUCGUUUAAAUUAUCGAUGUUGUUUAUUACCUCUAUUGUGGUAGCGGUGGAUAACGAUAUAAUCUAUGUAAAUAUAAAAAUUUUUUCCCUAAUUAGUAUAUGUAUAUUACAUAUUACACAUAUGUAUCUACGUAUGUAUAUAUAUGCAGAGAUAAGAAAAGGAAAUAUAUAAAAUUCUAAUAUGAUAAAAGAAAAGAAAAAAUAUAUUUCUUACCAUUAAAAACAUAGCGACUGUAUGUAAAUUUUUCAGUAUUACAGCCGUUCUAGUAGAAUCUUUAUCCAAUGGCCAA